rnacentral:rRNA from 1 species
CGGCGACCGGCGCACGGGUGCGCAACGCGUAUAGAAUCUGCCCUGUACUGGGGAAUAGCCCAGAGAAAUUUGGAUUAAUGCCCCAUGGUAUGUAUUAGCGGCAUCGCUUAUACAUUAAAGGCUACGGUACAGGAUGACUAUGCGUCCCAUUAGUUAGUUGGUAAGGUAACGGCUUACCAAGGCAGCGAUGGGUAGGGGCCCUGAGAGGGGGAUCCCCCACACUGGUACUGAGACACGGACCAGACUCCUACGGGAGGCAGCAGUGAGGAAUAUUGGACAAUGGGCGGGAGCCUGAUCCAGCCAUGCCGCGUGCAGGAAGACGGUCCUAUGGAUUGUAAACUGCUUUUGUACGGGAAGAACAAGGGGCACGUGUGCCCCUCUGACGGUACCGUAAGAAUAAGGAUCGGCUAACUCCGUGCCAGCAGCCGCGGUAAUACGGAGGAUCCGAGCGUUAUCCGGAAUCAUUGGGUUUAAAGGGUCCGUAGCGGGCCAUUAAGUCAGGGGUGAAAGUCUGCGGCUCAACCGUA